GUGAUCCUACGGGGGGCAGCAGGGGGGAAUAUUGGGCAAUGGGCGCAAGCCUGACCCAGCAACGCCGCGUGAAGGAAGAAGGCUUUCGGGUUGUAAACUUCUUUUAAGAGGGAAGAGCAGAAGACGGUACCUCUUGAAUAAGCCACGGCUAACUACGUGCCAGCAGCCGCGGUAAUACGUAGGUGGCAAGCGUUGUCCGGAUUUACUGGGUGUAAAGGGAGCGUAGACGGCCGUGCAAGUCUGAUGUGAAAACCCGGGGCUCAACCCCGGGACUGCAUUGGAAACUGCAUGGCUGGAGUGUCGGG
rnacentral:rRNA from 1 species